rfam:Medicago truncatula strain A17 chromosome 7, whole genome shotgun sequence.
AUAUAAGUAAAAUUGACUUUUUAGAUUCAUUCAUUUAAUGAUGUACAUAGUCCAUAUUAUAAACAACAUACAUCAUCAAAUGAAUGAAUCUAAAAGGUCAAUUUUGCUUAUAU